rnacentral:rRNA from 1 species
AUUGAACGCUAGCGGCAUGCCUUACACAUGCAAGUCGAACGGCAGCGCGGGAGCAAGUCCUGGCGGCGAGUGGCGAACGGGUGAGUAAUGCAUCGGAACGUGCCCAUCGAUGGGGGAUAACUGCGCGAAAGCGUUGCUAAUACCGCAUACGACCUACGGGUGAAAGCAGGGGACCGCAAGGCCUUGCGUCGAUGGAGCGGCCGAUGCCGGAUUAGCUAGUUGGUGAGGUAAAGGCUCACCAAGGCGACGAUCCGUAGCUGGUCUGAGAGGACGACCCAGCCACACUGGGACUGAGACACGGCCCAGACUCCUACGGGAGGCAGCAGUGGGGAAUCUUGGACAAUGGGCGAAAGCCUGAUCCAGCAAUGCCGCGUGUGGGAAGAAGGCCCUCGGGUUGUAAACCACUUUUGGCGGGAAAGAAAUGGUCUGUGCUAAUACCACGGAUUGAUGACGGUACCCGCAGAAUAAGCACCGGCUAACUACGUG